UACGAAGGGUGCAAGCGUUACUCGGAAUUACUGGGCGUAAAGCGUGCGUAGGUGGUUUGUUAAGUCUGUUGUGAAAGCCCCGGGCUCAACCUGGGAAUGGCAAUGGAUACUGGCAAGCUAGAGUGCGGUAGAGGGUAGUGGAAUUCCCGGUGUAGCGGUGAAAUGCGUAGAGAUCGGGAGGAACACCAGUGGCGAAGGCGGCUACCUGGACCAGGCACUGACACUGAGGCACGAAGCGUGGGGAGCAAACAGG
rnacentral:rRNA from 1 species